rnacentral:rRNA from 1 species
AUUGAACGCUGGCGGCAUGCUUUACACAUGCAAGUCGAACGGUAUCAGGUUAAGCUGACGAGUGGCGAACGGGUGAGUAAUGCAUCGGAACGUGCCCGAUCGUGGGGGAUAACGCAGCGAAAGCUGCGCUAAUACCGCAUACGAUCUGAGGAUGAAAGCGGGGGACCGUAAGGCCUCGCGCGAUCGGAGCGGCCGAUGUCAGAUUAGGUAGUUGGUGGGGUAAAGGCUCACCAAGCCGACGAUCUGUAGCUGGUCUGAGAGGACGAACAGCCACACUGGGACUGAGACACGGCCCAGACUCCUACGGGAGGCAGCAGUGGGGAAUUUUGGACAAUGGGCGAAAGCCUGAUCCAGCAAUGCCGCGUGCAGGAAGAAGGCCUUCGGGUUGUAAACUGCUUUUGUACGGAGCGAAAAGGCUCUCUCUAAUACAGGGGGCUCAUGACGGUACCGUAAGAAUAAGCACCGGCUAACUACGUGCCAGCAGCCGCCGUAACAC